rnacentral:rRNA from 1 species
UAGGGAAUCUUCCGCAAUGGGCGAAGGCCUGACGGAGCAACGCCGCGUGAGUGAUGAAGGUCUUCGGAUCGUAAAACUCUGUUAUUAGGGAAGAACAAAUGUGUAAGUAACUAUGCACGUCUUGACGGUACCUAAUCAGAAAGCCACGGCUAACUACGUGCCAGCAGCCGCGGUAAUACGUAGGUGGCAAGCGUUAUCCGGAAUUAUUGGGCGUAAAGCGCGCGUAGGCGGUUUUUUAAGUCUGAUGUGAAAGCCCACGGCUCAACCGUGGAGGGUCAUUGGAAACUGGAAAACUUGAGUGCAGAAGAGGAAAGUGGAAUUCCAUGUGUAGCGGUGAAAUGCGCAGAGAUAUGGAGGAACACCAGUGGCGAAGGCGACUUUCUGGUCUGUAACUGACGCUGAUGUGCGAAAGCGUGGGGAUCAAACAGG